AGCCAGUCCUCAUUUUCACUCCUCAUCUGCGUCCUCCCCGACGCCCGAGGACCCUCAGAGGAGCAUCUCCAGCUCUGAGCUGUUGGCACGGCGCGAGAGCGGUGAGCCUCUUCCGAUCCUCGACGUUCGUACCGAAGCCGAGUUUGCCGCGGGCCACAUUCCCGGUGCCGUCAAUGUGCCGUUCCAUCAGGUGAGUGCCCGGCUGGAUGAAGUACCGGGCGAGUCGGGGCAGGACCUGAUCGUCUACUGCGGCCACGGCCCACGCGCCUACAUGGCCGCGGUUCCCCUCCGUCACGCGGGUGGCCGCCGGGUGAUCUACUUGCGCGGCCACUGGUCCGCCUGGUAGGCGCAGGGGUUGCCUGUGGAGAAGUGAUUGCUGGUGGCUUGAGGCUUGAGGCUUGGGGCUUGGGGCUUGAGGGCACCCCUUGUGCUCGGCGUCGUGCCGCGUGUUGAUCGCCAGGCUCAUCUGGGUCACUGGACGGUACCGCGGGCGCCCUACGCCGCGUCGCGCGCGCCCGGCACCUGGUGACUCCGGAGCACCUCCGUAACUCCUUUGCGCCACAUCGGGGGGCGUUAGCGCAAGUGCCUGAUGGGAUUAGAAAUUGAACUUCGUCACGAACGUCACGAACCGCAUGAUGGAGAGUGUGGCCGCGGUGAUCUUCCCAAACUCGGUCGCCUGUUGUGUUAGAUUCGGGUUCGCGUACGUGGUCCGGUUCAACGCGUUGAUCACAUCCACACGGAACUGCAGCGAUCGGCGCGAGCCGACGUCGACGGUUCGCGCGAAGUUGAUGUUCAACACCCGUAGAUCCGGCGCCCGGACACCGGGCACCCGGAACGGGAAGACACGCUUCUGGAAGUUGGCCGGGACCUUGGCGGGAUCGCGUUCGAAUCCGGCGUCCACGUUGAACCAGCGAUCGAAGCGUGGGAUUCUCGACGGGAAUGUUGUUGAGGUCGCCGUAGAAGAAGACGUUGCCCCAGUUGAGCAAGGCGCCCGGCUGGUACUCGAAGUUUCCGCUGGUCCGCCAGCCUCCGGCAAUCGCCGACCGCCAGUCGCCGCUGUUGAGAUACCUUCGCGACGUGCCAAAAGGCAGUUCGUAGCCGAACGUCGCGACCAGACGGUGUGGACGCGCAUUAUUCCCGGUCUGCCACAGCCAUGGUGCCCGGUCGUACUCCUCGACCGUGGUCAACUCCUCGAACUUCGUCGCGGUAUACACCACGUUGGCAGAAAUACCAUUUGCAAACCGCCGAUCGAGCGUCAGCUCAAUGGAAUGAGCGCGAUUCUUUCCCAGAGGAAGGGUGUAGUUAAGGUUGUUGAUAUGCGGAAAAUCGCGCAGCAGGCGGUUACGCUGCACGGUGGGGCUCGUAAAGAAGGCGUUCCCGGCCAUCCGAUUGUACAGGGUAGGGUCGGUCGUCUGCAGCGACGCGAAGUUGUUGAUGAAGAAGGGACUCGUUACGUUCGCGUUGAGCAGGUUUUGCUGCGUCAGGUCCCGGACGUUGCUGCUGCUGAACCACUGUUCGGGCAGGUAAUCCUGGCGGAUGGUGGUCGCGAGUCGAUCGGCGUAGCUUCCGUUGUAGGCGACCUCGACGGACACGUUGCCGCUGAGGGCGCGCUGAAGGCUCAGACGCCACCGCUGCACACGUGCGUGUUUGAGAUCCUGAUUGGGCGCCGAGAGCGCCGAACCGACCACGCUAUCCAGGCCGAGGGAGUUGCCGAGCACAGGCUGGAAUCGAACACCGGCACUCGUCACCGGGAAGGGAUCGAGCAUCGGCGAGACGCCCGCCUUGGGGUCGCCGAGCAGAAACGUCCGACCGAAGUCCACGCUCAGCGUGCUGGUGGUGGUCUGUGAGUAGCCGGUUUGGUUUGGGGUGAAUGCGGUCGCGUUCACCGUGUCGAAAUACAUCCCGUAGCCGCCCUUGAGGACGGUCUUGUCAUUGAGCCUGUACGCAGCGGACGCACGCGGCAUCCACAUGCCUUCGCCCUUCCAGGACUUCCCGUCGCCGGAGGCGUAGACCGAGCCGCCGCGCACUUUGAAGGUGUCGGCGGGGCGCUGAGGGAUAGGCGCAGCAGCGUAGGCGGCCUCGGCUGCCGCCGUGAUGCUGACUGCCGCCUCCGGAUCGAAGCCGGUCAGCAUCGCGUUGUCGUCUUCGGUGAUGCCGUCCUCGUACUCGUAGCGCAGGCCGCCGCUCAGCGUCAGCUUCGGCGACACCCGCCACGUAUCCUGGAGAUACACGCCGACCCAGGGGGACACCGCGUUGAAGCUUGGCGUCAUCGCGACUUGCACGGUGGAGGGCAAGCCCAGCAUGAACGCCGCCCAACUCAGCCCCAGGUUCCUGCCGGCGAUACGGUCGUGUCGUCGGCCUUGCGGGUGUAGGUGUUGUUGAACG
rnacentral:misc_RNA from 1 species